rnacentral:rRNA from 1 species
UACGUAGGGUGCAGGCGUUAAUCGGAAUUACUGGGCGUAAAGCGUGCGCAGGCGGCUUUGCAAGACAGAUGUGAAAUCCCCGGGCUUAACCUGGGAACUGCAUUUGUGACUGCAAGGCUAGAGUACGGUAGAGGGGGAUGGAAUUCCGCGUGUAGCAGUGAAAUGCGUAGAUAUGCGGAGGAACACCGAUGGCGAAGGCAAUCCCCUGGACCUGUACUGACGCUCAUGCACGAAAGCGUGGGGAGCAAACAGG